GCCAGGGAGUCCCUUUCCCCCUCCCUUCCUCCGACAGGUUUGCCCUGCUCCCAAGAAAUGGGAACUCACUCGGCUGUGCACACAGGUGUCUCAGCCGGGGCCGUCUUUCGGUGCCCAUCUGCCACUGUGCGAGGAGGGGACACUGACGCAGAAUAUACACAGCAAAAGAUAUCUUGACUUGCUUGAAGUCACCUGGAUAAUCAACAGGAGCCAGGCUGAAUUCCCCAACCCAGUCCCACAAAUGUGUCCCCAAGAACCCACCGUGUGCUCUGCGCCCUGUUGGCAGGGAUGAGACUACCAAGAAUUGAUAAGUGGUGUCUUGAUUGGCCAAGCAAGCCUAAAAUCCUUGGAAUGAGAACGCAAACAGAUUACCGGGCUCCUGACUAUGUAAGAGAAGUUGCAAAAUCCCUACAAGUUUAGAAAAGGCGGAGUUGGAACGUUUGUCCAUUCAAUUAUUUAACAAACAUGUAUUGAACCCCAAACACUAGACAUGAGCAUGAGGUGGUAAAUCACCCAGACAAGGUUCCUGCUCUCCUGGAAUCCUAGAGAGGGAGAAAGGCAAUAAACAAGUAAACAAAUAGAAUAAAUUUAGCAGGAGAAACUAA